AAUGCUGGGUCCCGCCCCUUCUUCCGGCUGGGUUCCACUACCUGCAAGGCUGGAACUGACAGCCACUGUGCAAACAAAAAAAGGCAACAAGCAUGCUGGGACCAUUCUGUCUGCUGUUUGGGUCUCACUUGUCCUGACAACUAAAAAUCAUCAGUGGAAAGAGGUUGCAGCAUUUGAAAAUUAUCAAAAAGCAGCAGAGACAAGUUUGGGUGGUUUCCAGGGGAGAGGCACUGAAAGUGAUUGAUUCCUAUCAAAAGCACAAGGACAGGAAGCUAGAGUCAUCCUAACAAGAGUGAUAGUCUUUCCCCAAGUGAGACCAGGCUGUGCUGUCUGGGGAAAAGCAUUGCUGGCCUUGUCGAGAUGCACCGACGACUCAGCUCAGCUAAGGACUUAACCAGUACAGGACUUGCUGCAGCGGAGCCUGAGCUGGAUAUGGAAAGCAAAAGAAGCAAGAUCUCCCUAUGUUGCCAAGGUUGGUCUGGAACUCCUGAGCUCAAGUGAUCCU